rnacentral:lncRNA from 1 species
GAGUUCGUGCAUUCAAGUGACUGCGACGAGAAGAGCAGGAUAUUCCUCCCGGGUUUCACUAGAAGCAAAGCGUCCUGAGGCCUGGUGCCUUCAGUGCCUUCACAAAGACCCCCUUCUCUGCUUUAAGUGAAAGCUAGAGGAAUGAAGGGCACUUGGCCUGGGAGACCACCCAAGAACAGUGCUUCGUUCAUCACCCGGAGACAGUGGCCUGUUCAAAAGAGGAUUUCUCAACUUUAGAAGGAUGAUUCUGGCUGUGGUGUUGAGAAGAGACUCCAGCGAGGAUGGAAGUUGAGACAAACGUGGCAGCAGGAAGACCCUCUAAGGAGCUACGGCAAUAGAAGAAAAGGACUGAGGUCCUCUCGCCACCAAACUGAAGCUGAAACCUCAGCCUCUCAGUUCAUCAUUUGAAUGGUGUCAAGAAUAUGAGAUGGUGUGAGGAUGAUGGGAGAAAGGGCAUCUGAAAUGCUUGUUUUGGUUCCUCCUGAAUCCACAGUCAGUACUCAGUAGAGUAGCCAUGGUUUUAAUUAUUUUAAGAGGAAGAUUCACAAGGAUGUGCCCACAAAACACUGCCAAUUUGCAGCUGAAAAUGAUAACUGGAUUGAUAUUCCUCUUUGAGAUGCAAGCAGAUGCCUCCACCAACUAUCUCGAACCGGAAUGCCGCAGCCUCCCCUUCGUCCGCAUUUAUCCUUGGCAGGAGCACUGUCUAUUUUGGGAAGGACGAAUCCCUGAGGACACCUGCAAAGGACUGGAAGCUCUUAGCAACUCCUUGACCUGAGAGUGAGGAACCGAGUGGCGGGGAGCCCCAGGACCUGCCCAUCAUCACGUCUCUGCAGUGGCCUUGCCACAACCUGCCCGGCGGGUUCUCCUGGAUUGGGGGAAGGUCUGGACCCGUGUCCCUCGGGGGUUCUCCUAGGUCUCUUAUGGAGGAGGUGGCAGGGCAGGGAAUUGCUCAGUGACUUUCGACUCCAUUUCCAAGGCACAUGCAUUGUUAAGUGCUAAGACUUCUGUAAGAUAGUUGGAGUGGAAAAUGGAACCCUUAAUCCUAGACCCUAAAGUUCAACUCUUUCAUGAUCGCUACAAUGGGUGCUAAAGAGAAGAGAACAGAGGAAACAGUCUGGGCAAAUGUAUCCUGUUUGUUGUUAUGGGGCUUUGGUCUCAAAUCUCUGUGGUUGAGCUGAGCUAGUUUGGAGCAUGUGUCAGCUGUGAGCAUGCCCUUUGCCUGUCUAAAUUCAGGUGGAAGACGAAAAGCCUAAUGAUAAGUUCAAGGUCAAAUAAGUCUAAAUAUGAAUAAGAAGCAAUAAAGCAUAGUCCUAAAGUCAGAUGUGAAAGCGAGAGAAUGUGAUGCUUAUGGAUGAGAAAAGUGAGACAGGCCUUAUGGAAUCUCCAGCUUUCAUGCUGGACUUUGUUUGGUAUAGAACCUUCUCAGCAUGGUGCUAGGAUGCUCCCUUCUCAGGAAAUAGCUCAGAUGGGAGAAACCUUGAGCUUCUCCCAGUAGCUGAAAGGUGCCUCAAACAUUCAUUACAGCUUCUUAGACAGAGUUCGCUGAGGAAAGUUGUGUUCCCUGGGGCUGAAAAUUCUAGUAGACUGUAGGUGCUUUCAAACUUUGUGGUUUUUAUUUAUUUUUAUUUUAAAAAUUUUUUUGAAAGAUACUUCUUUUAGGCAUAGAAACUUAUACAGAACUCUAAUAUGUAACUGGUUAAAAUGUAUUCUAUUUGUAUAAAUUUAUUUUAGGAACUCAAAUGCAGUGAAGCUUUGCUACAUGCACUCUUUACUGGAUAACAGUGAGGAGAGUGGGCGGGGAGAUAUCCACUCAGUGAAAAGGAGAUUGCAAACCAAAUUUCCAAAA